GAAAAGAAGGUAUCAUAGAACCAUGUAAGGGUCACUUGAAAAGAAAUAUUAUAAAGGAAUGCUGGAGCAAAUGUGGCUGUUACCGACAAUGUGGCAAUCGUGUGGUGCAGCGUGGGAUAAAUUGCAAACUGCAGGUGUUUUUUACACCUGAUGGAAAGGGAUGGGGGCAUAGAACUCUAGAGAAGCUGCGAAAAGGUGCUUUUGUUUGUGAGUUUGUUGGAGAAA